rnacentral:rRNA from 1 species
UACGUAGGGUGCGAGCGUGUCCGGAAUUACUGGGCGUAAAGAGCUCGUAGGUGGUUUGUCGCGUUGUCCGUGAAAACUCACAACUCAAUUGUGGGCGUGCGGGCGAUACGGGCAGACUGGAGUACUGCAGGGGAGACUGGAAUUCCUGGUGUAGCGGUGGAAUGCGCAGAUAUCAGGAGGAACACCGGUGGCGAAGGCGGGUCUCUGGGACGGUACUGACGCUGAGACGCGAAAGCGUGGGGAGCGAACAGGAUAGAAACCCUUGUA